GUAACGAGCGCAACCCUUGUCCUUAGUUACCAGCACGUUAUGUGGGCACUCUAAGGAGACUGCCGGUGCAAACCGGAGGAAAGUGGGGAUGACGUCAAGUCAUCAUGGCCCUUACGGCCUGGGCUACACACGUGCUACAAUGGUCGGUACAAAGGGUUGCCAAGCCGCGAGGUGGAGCUAAUCCCAUAAAACCGAUCGUAGUCCGGAUCGCAGUCUGCAACUCGACUGCGUGAAGUCGGAAUCGCUAGUAAUCGUGAAUCAGAAUGUCACGGUGAAUACGUUCCCGGGCCUU
rnacentral:rRNA from 1 species